rnacentral:rRNA from 1 species
UACGGGGGGGGCAAGCGUUGUUCGGAAUUACUGGGCGUAAAGGGCUCGUAGGCGGCCAACUAAGUCAGACGUGAAAUCCCUCGGCUUAACCGGGGAACUGCGUCUGAUACUGGAUGGCUUGAGAUUGGGAGAGGGAUGCGGAAUUCCAGGUGUAGCGGUGAAAUGCGUAGAUAUCAGGAGGAACACCGGUGGCGAAGGCGGCAUCCUGGACCAACACUGACGCUGAGGAGCGAAAGCCAGUGGAGCAAACGGG